AAAAGUACUUGAACGUAGAAGAGAAGUGUUUUUUCACGGAAUACUAUGACGUUUUUACGAGAUUUUCAAUCAAGGUCUACAUAUGACUAAUAUCUACAAUGAAUGCAUUAACAGUCCACAGUUGUGCGGGCAAGCCUCCACCAUUGUACUACUAUACGUUAUCGUAGUUAAUUUACUGUCGAACAGACGCCAAGUGUUCACGCAUAACAGCAAGUUGAAUUUUUUUUUGCUGCGUAAUUUUUGUAUUAAAAUUAAAUAAAUCAUGUUGAUAUUGCGUUGAAAAUAGAGGAAAUUCAGAAAUGUUA